UACGUAGGGAGCAAGCGUUGUCCGGAUUCAUUGGGCGUAAAGAGCUCGUAGGCGGUUCAGUAAGUUAGGUGUGAAAGCUCCGGGCUCAACCCGGAGAGGCCACCUGAUACUGCUGUGACUCGAAUCCAGUAGAGGAGUGUGGAAUUUCUGGUGUAGCGGUGAAAUGCGCAGAUAUCAGAAGGAACACCACUAGCGAAGGCAGCACUCUGGGCUGGUAUUGACGCUGAGGAGCGAAAGCAUGGGUAGCAAACAGGAUUAGAUACCCUGGUAGUCCAUGCCGUAAACGUUGGGCACUAGGUGUGGGGAGGAAUCAACCCUCUCCGUGCCGUAGCUAACGCAUUAAGUGCCCCGCCUGGGGAGUACGGCCGCAAGGCUAAA
rnacentral:rRNA from 1 species